rnacentral:rRNA from 1 species
AACGAACGCUGGCGGCAGGCUUAACACAUGCAAGUCGAACGCCCCGCAAGGGGAGUGGCAGACGGGUGAGUAACGCGUGGGAAUCUACCCAUCUCUGCGGAAUAGCUCUGGGAAACUGGAAUUAAUACCGCAUACGCCCUACGGGGGAAAGAUUUAUCGGGGACGGAUGAGCCCGCGUUGGAUUAGCUAGUUGGUGGGGUAAAGGCCUACCAAGGCGACGAUCCAUAGCUGGUCUGAGAGGAUGAUCAGCCACAUUGGGACCGAGACACGGCCCAAACUCCUACGGGAGGCAGCAGUGGGGAAUAUUGGACAAUGGGCGCAAGCCUGAUCCAGCCACGCCGCGUGAGUGAUGAAGGCCUUAGGGUUGUAAAGCUCUUUCACCGAUGAAGAUAAUGACGGUAGUCGGAGAAGAAGCCCCGGCUAACUUCGUGCCAGCAGCCGCCGCCG